rnacentral:ncRNA from 2 species
UGAAGCCUUCGGGGCAGGGUGAGGGCUAGACAGCCCAAUUCCCGAUCGGCGGUAGAGCCCGCGAGCGCGAAUGCGCAGGAUCCGGUGAGACUCCGGGGCCGACGGUAAAGUCCGGAUAGAAGAAGGUGGCC